rnacentral:rRNA from 1 species
CGCUUAUCAGCUAGUUGGUGAGUAACGGCUCACCAAGGCUAAGACGGUAGCUGGUCUGAGAGGACGACCAGUCACACUGGAACUGAGACACGGUCCAGACACCUACGGGUGGCAGCAGUCGAGAAUUUUUCUCAAUGGGCGAAAGCCUGAAGGAGCGACGCCGCGUGGGGGAUGAAUGGCUUCGGCCCGUAAACCCCUGUCAUUUGCGAACAAACCUUGUCAUUUAAAAGAUGACGAGCUGAUUGUAGUGGAAGAGGAAGGGACGGCUAACUCUGUGCCAGCAGCCGCGGUAAUACAGAGGUCCCAAGCGUUGUUCGGAUUCACUGGGCGUAAAGGGUGCGUAGGUGGCUGGGUAAGUCUGAUGUGAAAUCUCCGAGCUUAACUCGGAAACUGCAUCGGAUACUACCUAGCUCGAGGGUUGGAGGGGGGACUGGAAUUCUCGGUGUAGCAGUGAAAUGCGUAGAUAUCGAGAGGAACACCAGUGGCGAAGGCGAGUCCCUGGACAACUCCUGACACUGAGGCACGAAAGCUAGGGGAGCAAACAGGAUUAGAUACCCUGGUAGUCCUAGCUGUAAACGGUGCUUAUUUGCUGUGAGAGGAAUCGACCCCUUUCGUGGCGUAGCAAACGCGAUA